AUGUGCGGGCAUGAGGAUGAGACCCUGCUACAUGCAUUGGUGCAGUGUGUGCAUGCUUCCACAUACUGGGCCGAGGCAGAGAAAUUCUUCGGGAUCAUACUUCCCCAGUUGAUCCCAGGAACUUGGACGAGAGAUAUUCUGGACCCUCAGUUUCUGUCUAGUGACAAGGCAGCAAUUGCAAUUAUGGUUAUGUGGGCAGUGUGGAACAGCAGAAACAAAUAUUCGCAUGGAGAGAUUCAGUAUCAGCCCAUUCGUUCAAUGGAGCUAGUGCAGGAGAUGAUUAGAUCUCUUGAUAUUCCAGGCAAGGAGAAGAGCUCAGGUCCCAAGCGGCCGGUUUGGCGCCCACCUGUUGGAGGGAUUGUCAAGCUGAACACAGACAUAGCAACCAAUGUGUCCAAUGGGGAGUCUGGGGGUUCGAUUAUAGCACGCGAUAACCAGGGGUCCUUCCUUGGCGCUAGGUAG
rnacentral:rRNA from 1 species